rnacentral:lncRNA from 1 species
AGGAUUUCUCUGGAUGGAUCAUUUGGGCCUGAAGCGUCUUCGUACUCUCUCAGAAUCUUCAAUAGAGUGGAGCAGCUCUUGCUGUCUGUUCGGAUGAAAAACAUGGUGUCAUCGACCAACAGUAAGUGAUUAAUUCGUGGACUGUUUGUUGCAACUUUAACACCAGGUAGAUUUCCAUUAUUUUGAGCCUCUAAGCAUAGACCUGAUAGCACUUUGCUGCACAGGAUGAAGAUAUAGGGAGAGAUAGGAUCUGUUAGGGGAUUUUUGUGUAGGCUCUUUGUGAAUACUACAGAACGAUGGAUAGGCUGGUAAACCGGGUGAAUUUGUAUGUGUUUCGUGAGGAUUUAAAGAGAAUGAUAAAGAAAUAGGCUUGAAGAGACGUAUUAUUGAUCAGGCAAACAAGAACAAGGGCGGUUACAAUGAUCUUUUAAUAAACCCUAGUUCUAGCUCUCUAAUUCUAGUCUCUAAGCCUUGGAGAAGUCGAUCCCUUGCGUUAGGGUUUUAGUAGCUCUUAUUGAAGGUCUUGUAGCCAUAUGGCUUGUUUAGCCGCUUCAGUGGCCGCCAUAAGUUCAGCCUCACAAGAUGAUAGUGCAACUAUCUCUUGUUUACAUGAACACCACGAUAUUGGACUUGUAUUGAGGUAAAAUACAUGUCAUGUAGUGCUCUUACCAUCAUCGCCAUCAACAUUGUGAGAGCUAUCACUCAACCCCCACCAGCUCUAAACUCGUUGCUUGCGUGAACAUGAGCCCAAGAGAUGUUGUUCCACGUAAAUAAUGCAAUACCUGCUAAGCAGCACCAUGAGAUUCAUUGGGGAUCUUGCAUAUAUCUACUUAACACCCCGACACUAAAACUCACAUCAGGUCGAGUGUGAACUAAAUCUCCCAGACAUCCCACACUUCUCCUAUACGCAUUCGCAUCUAUACUCUUUUCUUCGGCUGACUUUGAUAACUUAACGUUCGAAUCCAUGGGAGUGUGGGUUGGAUUGCACACACUCAUUCCAGUUUCUUCAAGUAUCUUCUCUGUAUACCGUUCUUGUUUCAACAUAAUACCAUCUCGAUGUUGAAGAACUUUGAUGCCCAGAUAAUAUGUAAGCUUGCCAAGAUCUCUCAUCUCGAACUUUGUUGCCAUCUCCUACUUAAACUUGAGUAUUAACUGCAACGAAGUCCCCGUGACCAGCACAUCGUCGACAUACACCACCACCAAGAGAAUUCCACCUUUUGCCUCUUUUCUAUAUAAAGGGGGAUCUUUAGAACACUUUUUAAACUUGAAUUCAAGGAGAAUCUUGUUUAACUUAGUGUUCCAAGCUUUGGGAGCUUGUUUUAAACCCGUAGAAAGCCUUCUUUAGUUUGUAAACCUUCCCUUCUUUGCCGGUGACUUCAAAACCUUCUGGUUGUUCCACAAACACUUCUUCUUUCAACUCUCCAUGCAAGAAUGCGAUUUUUACAUCCAGGGGAUGUACUCCCAUCCCUUUGAAGCUGCUAGUGCUAUAACCAAUCGAAUUGUCUCAAUACGUGCCACUAGUGCGAAGACUUCGUCAUAAUCAAUCUCAUGCCUUUGAACGUAACCCUUUGCCACCAAACGUGCUUUGUAUUUGCUGAUGCUUCCAUCCGCGUUUCUUUUAAUCUUAAACACCCACUUUAA